UAUUUUGAACAGUGGCAGUAUCAUAGCCGAUGAGGUUUAUCCCAGGCAUGAUUAUUGCUAAUUGAAAUAAUAGUUUUUUAGAACUUACUAAUAUCUGGGGGACUCUUUUGGAC
rnacentral:snRNA from 1 species